UACGUAGGGGGCUAGCGUUGUCCGGAAUCAUUGGGCGUAAAGAGCGUGUAGGCGGCCCGGUAAGUCGGCUGUGAAAGUCAAAGGCUCAACCUUGGAAUGUCAGUGGAUACUGCCGGGCUAGAGUCCGGAAGAGGCGAGUGGAACUCCUGGUGUAGCGGUGGAAUGCGCAGAUAUCAGGAAGAACACCAGCGGCGAAGGCAGCUCGCUGGGACGGGACUGACGCUGAGACGCGAAAGCGUGGGGAGCGAACAGG
rnacentral:rRNA from 1 species